GAUGAACGCUGGCGGCGUGCCUAAUACAUGCAAGUCGAGCGAACAGACGAGGAGCUUGCUCCUCUGACGUUAGCGGCGGACGGGUGAGUAACACGUGGAUAACCUACCUAUAAGACUGGGAUAACUUCGGGAAACCGGAGCUAAUACCGGAUAAUAUAUUGAACCGCAUGGUUCAAUAGUGAAAGACGGUUUUGCUGUCACUUAUAGAUGGAUCCGCGCCGCAUUAGCUAGUUGGUAAGGUAACGGCUUACCAAGGCGACGAUGCGUAGCCGACCUGAGAGGGUGAUCGGCCACACUGGAACUGAGACACGGUCCAGACUCCUACGGGAGGCAGCAGUAGGGAAUCUUCCGCAAUGGGCGAAAGCCUGACGGAGCAACGCCGCGUGAGUGAUGAAGGUCUUCGGAUCGUAAAACUCUGUUAUUAGGGAAGAACAAAUGUGUAAGUAACUAUGCACGUCUUGACGGUACCUAAUUAGAAAGCCACGGCUAACUACGUG
rnacentral:rRNA from 1 species